AUGCAGGACGGCCGACCUGCCCAUCACUUACCUCGGCAUCCCGCUCACGUUGCGCCGUCCCACCGCCGCCCAACUGCAGCCCCUCGUAGAUACAGUGGCAGCCAUGCUUCCAACUUGGAAAGCAUGGCUUAUGAACAAGGCUGGACGGCUCGCAUUGGUCAAGGCGGUGCUCGAGGCCAUCCCGGUUCACCAACUGCUCGCAUUCGCACCCCCCAAGAAGACCCUGAGGCAGCUGGAGAAGAUACAACGGGGCUUCCUAUGGGCUGGGCGUGCAACUGCCAACGGCGGGCACUGCCACGUCAACUGGCGCCAUGCUUGGCGUCCACUGGAAUAUGGCGGCUUGGGAAUACGGGACCUGGAGCGAGCUGGCCUGGCACUAAGGUUGCGAUGGCUAUGGUACACUUGCACAGACGACAACCGCGCAUGGCAAGGGCUUGA
rnacentral:rRNA from 1 species